UACGGGGGGGGCAAGCGUUGUUCGGAAUUACUGGGCGUAAGGGGUUCGUAGGUGGCCUGCUAAGUCAGACGUGAAAUCCCUCAGCUUAACUGGGGAACUGCGUCUGAGACUGGUGGGCUUGAGUGCAGGAGAGGAACGCGGAAUUCCAGGUGUAGCGGUGAAAUGCGUAGAUAUCUGGAGGAACACCGGUGGCGAAGGCGGCGUUCUGGACUGCUACUGACACUGAGGAACGAAAGCCAGGGGAGCAAACGGG
rnacentral:rRNA from 1 species